AACUUUUGGCAACGGAUCACUUGGCUCUCGCAUAAAUGAAGAACGCCGCGAUUUGCGAUAAAUAAUGUGAAUUGCAGAUUUUCAGUGAAUCAUCGAAUCUUUGAACGCACCUUGCGCUCCUUGGUAUUCCGAGGAGCAUGCCUGUUUGAGUGUCCUUUAAUUCUCAACCAUCCCUCGAUUCGUUUCGUGGGUUUGGCUUGGAUUUUGGGGGCUGCCGGGGCGACCCUAGGGUCUUCGGCUCUCCUUAAAAGCAUUAGCGAUGGCGGCGCGAUCUAACCCCCAUGCAUCAACGGCCUGCGACGUGAUAAUGAUCGUCGUGGCUGGAGUGUUUAGUGGGUGUCGUGAAGUCGGCGCUUCUAAAGACCUUUGUCGAAAGACGAAAACUCGAAACUUGACCUCAAAUCAGGUAGGACUACCCGCUGAACUUAAGCAUAUCAAUAAGCGGAGGCU
rnacentral:misc_RNA from 1 species